GAUGAACGCUGGCGGCGUGCCUAAUACAUGCAAGUCGAGCGAACAGACGAGGAGCUUGCUCCUCUGACGUUAGCGGCGGACGGGUGAGUAACACGUGGAUAACCUACCUAUAAGACUGGGAUAACUUCGGGAAACCGGAGCUAAUACCGGAUAACAUGUUGAACCGCAUGGUUCAACAGUGAAAGACGGUUUUGCUGUCACUUAUAGACGGAUCCGCGUCGCAUUAGCUAGUUGGUAAGGUAACGGCUUACCAAGGCAACGAUGCGUAGCCGACCUGAGAGGGUGAUCGGCCACACUGGAACUGAGACACGGUCCAGACUCCUACGGGAGGCAGCAGUAGGGAAUCUUCCGCAAUGGGCGAAAGCCUGACGGAGCAACGCCGCGUGAGUGAAGAAGGUCUUCGGAUCGUAAAACUCUGUUAUUAGGGAAGAACAAAUGUGUAAGUAACUAUGCACGUCUUGACGGUACCUAAUCAGAAAGCCACGGCUAACUACGUG
rnacentral:rRNA from 1 species